GAUGAACGCUGGCGGCGUGCCUAAUACAUGCAAGUCGAGCGAACGGACGAGAAGCUUGCUUCUCUGUUGUUAGCGGCGGACGGGUGAGUAACACGUGGAUAACCUACCUAUAAGACUGGGAUAACUUCGGGAAACCGUAGCUAAUACCGGAUAAUAUUUUGAACCGCAUGGUUCAAAAGUGAAAGACGGUCUUGCUGUCACUUAUAGAUGGAUCCGCGCUGCAUUAGCUAGUUGGUAAGGUAACGGCUUACCAAGGCAACGAUGCAUAGCCGACCUGAGAGGGUGAUCGGCCACACUGGAACUGAGACACGGUCCAGACUCCUACGGGAGGCAGCAGUAGGGAAUCUUCCGCAAUGGGCGAAGGCCUGACGGAGCAACGCCGCGUGAGUGAUGAAGGUCUUCGGAUCGUAAAACUCUGUUAUUAGGGAAGAACAUAUGUGUAAGUAACUGUGCACAUCUUGACGGUACCUAAUCAGAAAGCCACGGCUAACUACGUG
rnacentral:rRNA from 1 species